rnacentral:tRNA from 1 species
CCGGUGCGCAGGCAACGGAUGCUUCGCUCUCUCAAAGCGGUAACGCGGGUUCGAAUCCCGCCGCCGGC